rnacentral:tRNA from 1 species
GGUUUCAUGGUGUAGGGGUUAUCACAUAUCCUUAACAUGUAAACACUUCAGUGCUCAUUGUUGCGGAUAAGGUCCCCGGUUCGAGACCGGGUGAAAUCA